GCAGCCAUGCCGCGUGUAUGAAGAAGGCCUUCGGGUUGUAAAGUACUUUCAGCAGUGAGGAAGGUGGKAGUGUUAAUAGCGCUAUCAUUUGACGUUAGCUGCAGAAGAAGCACCGGCUAACUCCGUGCCAGCAGCCGCGGUAAUACGGAGGGUGCGAGCGUUAAUCGGAAUUACUGGGCGUAAAGCGCAUGCAGGUGGUUUGUUAAGUCAGAUGUGAAAGCCCGGGGCUCAACCUCGGAAUUGCAUUUGAAACUGGCAGACUAGAGUACUGUAGAGGGGGGUAGAAUUUCAGGUGUAGCGGUGAAAUGCGUAGAGAUCUGAAGGAAUACCGGUGGCGAAGGCGGCCCCCUGGACAGAUACUGACACUCAGAUGCGAAAGCGUGGGGAGCAAACAGGAUUAGAUACCCUGGUAGUCCACGCCGUAAACGAUGUCUACUUGGAGGUUGUGGCCUUGAGCCGUGGCUUUCGGAGCUAACGCGKUAAGUAGA
rnacentral:rRNA from 1 species